UCGCUGCCGCCCUGCCCCCGGCCGGGCAGCCUGGGGCUUGUAGUCGCCCUGCCCGGGGGUCCCGGGCCGGGGGGAGCUGCACCGCCCCGGCAGCGAUGGCGAGGGCCGGGGAGCGGGAGCCGGAUCCCGCGGGAUGGCCAGGAACAGGGAUCUCCUCGCUACCUGCUGACCUGCUCUUGUGCAGAGCUUCUCCCCCCACCCCAGGCGAGAAAGCCUCUGCACACCUUUCUUAUCGCAACAUUUGUGAUUAAUGGGUAUUCUGGGCCUGCUGAAGUCAGUGCCUUUGUCCCAAAGAUCCACAUAUGAGAAGGUCUGGAGUGGCGGAUCCACCAGCGGUUCAUGUGUGCCGGCACGUUUCUGUCCUGGCUCCCUCCUGCGAUGCCUUCCUCCUCCUCCUCCCCUCCAGACCGUGUGCUUUGGCAGUGCCGCUUCCCCCUCUGAUCCUUAUCUCGCUCUUGGCUGCCGGGCUUGCGGGGCUCGAGGGCGCGUUCCUGCCUGGCAGCCAAACAGCGCAACCCCAGGGCUGAGCCGCAGGAAUGCGCUUCCCAGAGAGCUCGGCGUUUGGAACGGCAGCCUGUGUUUGGUAACACAACCCGGCCGUGACUGCUGGAAAACGUUACCCUCCACCUCUGGGCCGGGGCAGCUAGAAGAGGCUUUAAAAUCACAAAUUAAAAUACAAAUACAACGGGGAGAAGGAAAGCCAUCCUGGCAAAGGGAAGACAAGGUGAUCAGACACGCUCAUCACACACUUGAGCUUGUUUUCUCUGAUUAUGAUUGAUCCCUAGGAAGGGGCUUGGGGGCACCAAACUGACCAAGCUCUAUUCAGUUAUUGAUGAACACAACCUCAGAGCCAGCAAGACCCUUAGAUGGGCUCGAGGAGCCGCCUGAGCCUGAUUUAGCCCAAAUUCCCCUUUUCCCAUCUGAGCUCUGAGGAUGGCAGCCUCCAUCCUCAAAUUAGCUGGGGGGUGCUGGGAGAGCUGCUUGUAGGGCCAAGAGUUCCACAGGACAGCAGGAGGAAGGAGCUCAUGGGACUCGCCUUGGUUUCCAUUAGCUUGGUUUGCUGCGCUGCAAUUUUUGACUUAAUUACAUUGUUUGCAAAAGGAGAGUUUGUAAACGCUUGUCACCAGGAGAACAAAGUUACAUAAUUAAACUACUUAGCAGAGUCUGUGGCUUCAGUGCAGUUCUCUGGGGUGAUUCAGCUUUCCAAUAAAAAUACUGUGUGAUACCAUAAAUAUUGUAAAUGGCUCUAGAUGGUUUCCAAGGGCUAUGUCAACUGCUUUUUUGCAUUCAAAGAGAAAAGAAUAAGUGAAAUCACGGGGAAGAUAAAAUUUAAAUAAAUAAAAUAAAUGGGAAAAUAAAGCAAAAAUA